UGUUACUUUCUUUUGCUUGUUGGUGUUGAAUAUGGUAUGCCAGCAAUGAUAGUCCUCAACCCCAAACAGAAAGAAAAAAAUGAGGAAGGGAUUUAUAGCAGUUAAAAACUUUUGCACCUUUAGAUGAUAAAUGAAAUUAAUUCUGCCAAGCAUGCCAUGGUGAUGUCUGCUGUUAGUUGGCAUUGCUGUGAAAUUUUAUUUUUCUAUUUAUUUCAGUUAACUCUGUAUAAAACUGUUUACAAGCAUCUAAUUUACUACCAUGAGAUGUAUGAAAAGGUUGCAAAAAUUGUCUACAAGGAACACUGGAAAAGUACCAAUUGUUAUGACUGAACUAUUUCAUUUCAAGAUGGAAUCUAUAAUAGUUCAUGUUGAUUCAUUUUCUUUAUCUUCUCUACUAAUAGGACUGGAUUCUGCAGUAUGAUCCCCCAGAUGAGCCCCAGGUGCUUAGCUUUUUUCCUUGGUUAAAACAGAACACAUGAAAUAUCAUAUAUACGUAUAUAAUUCAUCAUGUUUAAAAAUAAUAGGACCCACAAUAACACAUGAAAGCAACAUAUAUAGGUUGUAAAUAUAGUAGUCCUAAAUGGUAAUAUUAAAUUAUUUCUCACUAUUCCAUGCCAUUUCUUCCAUAACAAAUUCUCAGGUAGUGUUUGGUUCGUUUGGAUGAGUGAUAGGUCAUUCCAUUAAGAGACCAAGGAAUGAACAUCCCGUUACAUUCUACUUUCAUUCCAAUAAAGCAAACAUAGCAUUAAUUCUCCCAGAUAUAUCGUUUUAUCUUUUCAUUUACUAGGAAUGUAGUGUUUAGUUCACUAGAACGAAAUAGAAUGGAAUGAAAUGAUCUUCCUCCUUUACCCUUCUUACAAAAUGACUAUUUCUUUACAAUUUGUGAAUGAUGAUUAUGGUGGUGCUUCUAACUCACACGAGAUCUUCUGUUUCUAUUUUUUUUCAAACCUAAUUUCAUUGAUUCUAAUCAUGUGGUAGAGAUGAAGUUUGGAAUAGAGAACUAGGAGAUGAGCAUAGUGGAUCCUGUCUCCAUGUGACAUUAAUUGCAAUGCUACAUCUAUUGUUUUAGAUGUUGAUUCAUUCCUGAUGUGCAGGUGGAUGACAAGUACCAAUACUCAACUGAGGACAAAGAUAACCAGGUUCACGGGUGGAUAUGCUUUGACCCGCCUGUGGGGUUCUGGCAAAUCACACCCAGCAAUGAGUUCCGAACCGGUGGACCCUUCAAACAAGACCUUACCUCCCAUGUCAACCCAACAACCCUUGCUAUGAAUAUUGAGGUCCAGAGCUGGCCCUACAAUUUCCCAGCAUCACACUCCUUCCCACCUAAAUUUUGUUCCACCUAAAAUUUUUUUUUAAAAAAAUUUUCUGCAAUUUUUUCUUCAGAUGAAUAAGAUUGGUUCUUUGCUCAAGUAACCAGUGAUUGUAGGUAUUCGGAGUUUACUAUGCAGAGUUGGAUCCAAUUUGGCGCUGUCUUAUAGAGGUU